GAUGAACGCUGGCGGCGUGCCUAAUACAUGCAAGUCGAGCGAAUGGAUUAAGAGCUUGCUCUUAUGAAGUUAGCGGCGGACGGGUGAGUAACACGUGAGUAACCUGCCCAUAAGACUGGGAUAACUCCGGGAAACCGGGGCUAAUACCGGAUAACAUUUUGAACCGCAUGGUUCGAAAUUGAAAGGCGGCUUCGGCUGUCACUUAUGGAUGGAUCCGCGUCGCAUUAGCUAGUUGGUGAGGUAACGGCUCACCAAGGCAACGAUGCGUAGCCGACCUGGGAGGGUGAUCGGCCACACUGGGACUGAGACACGGCCCAGACUCCUACGGGAGGCAGCAGUAGGGAAUCUUCCGCAAUGGACGAAAGUCUGACGGAGCAACGCCGCGUGAGUGAUGAAGGCUUUCGGGUCGUAAAACUCUGUAGUUAGGGAAGAACAAGUGCUAGUUGAAUAAGCUGGCACCUUGACGGUACCUAACCAGAAAGCCACGGCUAACUACGUGCCAGCCGCCGCCGUAA
rnacentral:rRNA from 1 species